AAAACUUGUGAGUCCUGUAAAACAGCACGUACUCCAUUGUGGCGGGAUGCAGAGGAUGGAACGCCCCUGUGCAACGCAUGUGGUAUCAGAUACAAGAAAUACCGAAUUCGAUGUCCGUUCUGUUGGCUGAUCCCACGGAAAGAUAGCAAGACAUUCCCAUACUGCGGCCGGUGUGGCAUGCUUCUAAAACUGGUGUAUCAUCGGAAAAAUCAGUACCUCUGAUGGGCGAUCCUUUCAAAGUGCAAUUCAUUGUUCAGUACUUCUGUUAUUUUAUAAGUACCAUCCAACAUAAGUUUUACAAUUCAUAUUCGAGUUUAUGUAUCGUUCUACUAACUUCAUUAUCACUCGCAUGUUAAUGCAGGGGUGUUCUAUAAUGAAGUUAUUUUUACUUUCAGGGUGAGUUUAAUGGAUUAAUCGUGAUUUUACUGGCAUCUUUAGAAAGCUUGCAUCUGGUUUAUCUUAAAACCUGUGGCUUUUCUGACGCUAAGAUUUCGAAGUUGUUUUAGAUUAGAUUACUUUUAAUCGUUUUAAAGUCAUUACAUUUAGUUUUCAUCCGUGUGAGAAAAGCCAUUGGUAACCAUUUGCGAAUCAUAAAUAACGCGAAUUGAAUUUCAUUUUCAGAAGCCCACAAAAUUGUAUCGUCUUAAAAAAAACAUUACCAUGUAUUUUAUUUUAUCAUUAUUAGUCUUGCCAUUGGAUUUGGAAUGAAAAAAAAGGAUCAAUCCGAUGUUUGCUUCAGUAUAAUUAUGUGUACAGCGUGAAUAAUUGGCUCUCUGAUAGACUUUGACUGAAAUUCAAUCGAAUUGAUGCAAGUAAUACACCCAUGAAUGCUGACUUUUAUUGUGUUUCUUAUUCAGCCUUUUUUUUUAUUCCACGAAGACCAAAGUCACUGUUAAUCCUCAUAACAUAUUUACUGAAAAAAGACCAAAUUCAAACAUGCCUUAUAGAUCUAUUGGAUAAAAAAAAUAAUAGCAUAUUGCAGUUUCACCAUUAUCCUAUACAAUCACAGGAUCAUAAAUAAGAGAGCUGAAGAUAAUUAUAUGUCACCGAAAUUUUAAAUUAUGAUUACUAUUUUUCUUCAAUCAUGAAAAAUGGGUUUUGAUUUUCUUAAAUGUUGUGAAAUCAUCAUUUUGCAAUUCAUAAUGCUCCAAUUAAAAUUUUCUCAUUUUCGAAUCUAUAAAAAUUUAACAUGUUUUUUUAGAAUACGAAAUAAAUGAUUUGUGACACGAUUAGCGCCCUCGUUUGCAUAGCACUUGUUGCUGUCUGAAAUCAUAAGUAGAAUAAGAUAAGAUGUUGGAAAUUUUAUAAGCUUCAUCUGAUUUUGCUGAAAUCUUCUGGAUUAUUCCGUUUUAGAUUGCCAUUUGGGGCGGAUUCGGUACGAGUCUACUUGACACACGAACUAUACAGACAUCGAAGCAAUCUAUUCCUGUUAAUGAAUUAAAUUAUAUUUUCCUACUUUACCAGUUUCUGUAUCUGUCGAGAAUUAGUGAAGCACUUAAAACACCAUUGUUUAAAACAUUCAUCCAUUUAAUUUCACAAUGUACUGGUCCAUUGAUAUAGCAUCAUAGUACCUUGUAAGUAAACAGAUAGGUAUGUUAUGUUUUCCUAUACUAUACUAUGUAUUGUAUAAUAGUACGAAUAAAGAAAUCUGCAUGAGUACCU
rnacentral:lncRNA from 1 species